rnacentral:rRNA from 1 species
UCCCUAGUACGGCGAGUGAGAGGGAAGAGCCCAAGAUUGAAAGCUGGCGCCUUCGGCGUCCGCAUUGUAAUCUCAAGAAGUGUUUUCCGCUUCGGACCAUGCCUAAGUCCCUUGGAAAAGGGCAUCAUAGAGGGUGAUAAUCCCGUACAUGGCAUGGAGCGCCCGAAGCUUUGUGAUACGCUUUCUAAGAGUCGAGUUGUUUGGGAAUGCAGCUCAAAAUGGGUGGUAAAUGCCAUCUAAGGCUAAAUAUUGGGGAGAGACCGAUAGCGAACAAGUACAGUGAUGGAAAGAUGAAAAGAACUUUGAAAAGAGAGUUAAACAGUACGUGAAAUUGCCAAAAGGGAAGGGUAGGAGGUCAGAGAUGCGUUCUAGGAUUCAGCCUUGCUUUUGCAUGGUGUUUUUUCUAGUUUGCAGGCCAACGUCGGUUUUGGGCACUGGAGAAGGGUGGAAGGAAUGUGGCACCUCUCGGGGUGUGUUAUAGCCUUCUACUGGAUACAGCGACCGAGACCGAGGACAGCAGCGUACUCGCAAGAGCGGGCCUUCGGGCACCUUUACGCUUAGGGCGUUGGCAUAAUGGCCCUCUACCACCCGUCUUGAACCCCC